rnacentral:tRNA from 1 species
CAGGGCCGUAGCGCAGAGGUCGACGCACCGUCCGGCAAAGACGAAGGACGCCGGUUCGAAUCCGGCCGGUCCUGCCC